rnacentral:lncRNA from 1 species
UAUUAUUAUUAUUAUUUUUUUUUUUUAAUGCGGACAGUUCAAUUUUGUUAUACUUGUGUGCAUUGAUAAAAUUAAUAAAGUGUACUCUGUCACGCGAUCUUAAAAAAAUUGUGUAAAAUUUUAUAAAAAAAACAAUAGAUGAACUUAAAUAUACACACAUGAAUACAUACAGAUAUAAUUCAUAAAUUGUAAAAAACAAAUGAUGGAUCAAACUACUGAUGGUAGUAAUAGAAUAGUUACUAUUUACUUUACUUUCGAAAAUUAGAAUUUUUUCUAUGAUUUUUUAAUAGUCGUUAACAGUAACAUUGUUUUGAAGAUUCUGAGAUUUUCAUAAUAAAUUUAAUUUUACAUAUUUGGAACCAAACAAUUUAUAAAUUUAUUUUUUUCACUUUUUUUUUAAAUAAAUCCUUAAAAUUAAAACGUGAAAAAAAAAAAAAAAAAAAAAAAAAAAAAAAAAAAAAAAAAAAAAAAAAAAAAAAAAUUUUCCAUUUUUCCUUUUUAAAAAACGGUGUUAAGGUAUUUAAUGUAAAUAAAUUAUAUAUGGAUAAUAACAACGCAUUUAAAAGUUUAUAUUUUGGUAGUAGUACUAAUAGUGAUAGUAAUAGUGGUAGUACUAAUACAAUCAAUAGUUAUAGUAUGGUAACAAGCGAUGUGAAGGGACUCGAUACAGGUGGGCUACUAAAAACUGCUAAAGAUGGUAACAACACGAACAAAAAAAAAAAAAAUAAUAAUGCAAAA